GUCUACAGCCAUGCCACCCUGGAUGCGCCCAAUCUCGUCUGAUCUUGGAGGCUAAGCAGGGUCGGGCCUGGUUAGUACUUAGAUGGGAGACCAUCUAGGAAGACCGGGUGCUAUAGACG
rfam:Pteropus alecto contig164056, whole genome shotgun sequence.